GAAAUGCGAUACGUAAUGCGAAUUGCAGAAUCCAGUGAGUCAUCGAACCUUUGAACGCACCUUGCGCUUCCGGGCAACCGGGAGCAUGUCUGCUGGAGUGCCUGUUCUCAACCACAACUUCAAAUCCUUUAGGGGGUUUUGCAAGUGUGACGGCGCUGUAUUUCUAUUAAUAGGGGUACAGUGCUAGUUCAGACGAAAGGCACACGACUGACUUUUUGUGAAAUUUUUGUUUCACAUUCUCAGUUGUGAGUGUCGUGCAAGAGUUCAUUCUCUAGCUUUUAACUUCACUCAACCAAAAAAACAACUGGGAACGCCAAACCCGACUUCGAAUCGGGCCUCCAGUCAGACAAGAAGACCCGCUGAAUUUAA
rnacentral:misc_RNA from 1 species